rnacentral:ncRNA from 3 species
CUGCCCAGUGCUCUGAAUGU